AUUGAACGCUGGCGGCAGGCCUAACACAUGCAAGUCGAGCGGAUGAGGGAAGCUUGCUUCCCGAUUUAGCGGCGGACGGGUGAGUAAUGCCUAGGAAUCUGCCUGUUAGUGGGGGAUAACUCGGGGAAACUCGGGCUAAUACCGCAUACGUCCUACGGGAGAAAGUGGGGGAUCUUCGGACCUCACGCUAACAGAUGAGCCUAGGUCGGAUUAGCUAGUAGGUGAGGUAAUGGCUCACCUAGGCUACGAUCCGUAACUGGUCUGGGAGGAUGAUCAGUCACACUGGAACUGAGACACGGUCCAGACUCCUACGGGAGGCAGCAGUGGGGAAUAUUGGACAAUGGGCGAAAGCCUGAUCCAGCCAUGCCGCGUGUGUGAAGAAGGUCUUCGGAUUGUAAAGCACUUUAAGUUGGGAGGAAGGGUUGUAGAUUAAUACUCUGCAAUUUUGACGUUACCGACAGAAUAAGCACCGGCUAACUCUGUGCCAGCCGCCGCAGUAAAAC
rnacentral:rRNA from 1 species